UACGAAGGGGGCUAGCGUUGUUCGGAUUUACUGGGCGUAAAGCGCACGUAGGCGGAUCGUUAAGUCGGGGGUGAAAUCCUGGCGCUCAACUCCAGAACUGCCUUCGAUACUGGCGAUCUCGAGUCCGGAAGAGGUGAGUGGAACUCCUAGUGUAGAGGUGGAAUUCGUAGAUAUUAGGAAGAACACCAGUGGCGAAGGCGGCUCACUGGUCCGGUACUGACGCUGAGGUGCGAAAGCGUGGGGAGCAAACAGG
rnacentral:rRNA from 1 species